rnacentral:antisense_RNA from 1 species
GCAGGCCUGUCCCUUUGCUUUCUUGUUAAAACUGCGCACCGUCUGAGGCCAAUUCGAGCCUACUGGAUCCCUGGUUCCAACCCAGUAGGAUCACAGAAGCAGGGCCAUCUGCAGGAGAAAAGGUUGUUCUUUUCUACCAAAUUUUCCUGCCAUCAAAUGCUCAUCAAGUGACAAUAGAAAAAGCACCAUAGUUCUCAAGCAUCAGAUUGGGAGAAGAGUCUGCUCUCAAGAGCAUCAACUAUGUAGAAAGGCGACCACUAAAGGACAUACUUGUGGAAGAAGAAAAUUACAAAAUGAAAGAACUGGGAUGCAAGAAGUAAUGGAAAUGACAAGCUAAUUCGAAAGUUCAUAGGAAUGAAAAGCAUCUAAAAUAGGCAAAUUCAUUUUGAAAAAGAAGAACAAAGUUGGAGGACUAAGACGACCUGAUUUCAAAGUGCAAGGCUUCAAUAAUCAAGACAGUUUGAUACUGGCACAAAGAUAGACAAAGAGAUAAUGACACAGACAUUAGGUCCAGAAGACAGUCCAGUAAUAGACUUUCACAUAUAUGGACAACUAAUUUUUGACAGUGCCAAGGCAAUUCAGUAGAGAAAGGAUAGUUU